rnacentral:rRNA from 1 species
CACGUGGGUGAUCUGCCCUGCACUUUGGGUAGUAAGACCUGGGAAACGUAGGGUCGUAAUACCGAAUAGGACCAUGCGAUGCAUGUCGUGUGGUGGAAAGCUUUUGUCGGUGUGGGAUGGGCCCGCGGCCUAUCAGCUUGUUGGUGGGGUGAGUGGCCUACCAAGGCGACGACGGGUAGCCGGCCUGAGAGGGUGUCCGGCCACACUGGGACUGAGAUACGGCCCAGACUCCUACGGGAGGCAGCAGUGGGGAAUAUUGCACAAUGGGCGCAAGCCUGAUGCAGCGACGCCGCGUGGGGA